rnacentral:lncRNA from 1 species
AAAAUUAAUCAUUUAUUUACUGCAUUUAUUUACUACAUUUAUAUCCCACCCUUCUCAUCCCGAAGGGGACUCAGAGCAGCUGUAUGCACAUACAAUAUAUUAUAUUAUUAGCAUAACACAAUAUUAGCAUUAUAUAUUACUAUAUUGCACUAUACCACUAUACUAUUAUAUAAUAUGUAAUAUAUAACAUAUAAUUAAUAUUAUUAUAUGGUAUUACUAUUAGUAUUAUAUUGUAUAACAUAAGAUUAUUAUCAAUAUUAUAUGUAUAUACAAUAUCUAUAUAUAUAAAAGAGUGAUGGAAUCCUGGCGACUGGCAAAACAACAAAACUAAACACCCCAUAAACUCGAAAAUUGACAACACAACCCAUCAUCCAUGCCUCUAGGUUGAUACAACAAAAAGAAAAGAAAAAUAAAGUCCUAAUUAGAGGGAGAGGAAUAAUUGUUUUUAUCCAAUUGCUGCCAGUUAGAAGGCUAAGCUCCGCCCACUUGGUCUCCUAGCAACCCACUCACCCAGGGGACAGGCAGAGCUUAGCCUUCUAACUGGCAGCAAUUGGAUAAAAACAAUUAUUCCUCUCCCUCUAAUUAGGACUUUAUUUUUCUUUUCUUUUUGUUGUAUGAAUGUAGAGGCAUGGAUGAGGGGUCGUGCUGCCAAGUUUAGUGUUUCUGGGGUGUGUAGUUUUGUUGUUUUGUCCUAGGCCGAAACAUCAUUACCCUUGUAUAUAUAUAUAUAUAUAGAUAAAUGUAAUGUGCAUAAUUCCCAUGGAGUAAACAACAAAACCACUGGACCAAAUCACACCAAAUUUGGCCACAAAAGACAUUCGUCAUCCAAUCAAUCUGUAUGCGGCAGCGUGUCAGCAAAAAUGGCUAGGCGUGUCAGUGGUGACACGCGUGUCAUAGGUUGGCCAUCACUGAGCUAGGAGGACGACGAAAGCGAGAGGAAGGAGUCCUUUAUAUACUUAAAAACACACCUAGAAGGUUUUCUAGCCAUCUCCAUCUCCACAAUGGGAAACUGAGAAAAAUGGAAAAAGAUCUAGAGACAACCUGUGUAUGGUGGAGGCAUACACGAAACCCUUACAGGAAACCCAGCCAGUUUUCAGCAUGAAUUUUAAACCCGUGUCUUGUGUUUAAUGUCCGUUCUGUGUGUAUUAUUAUUAUCAUCUUUAUCUUUAUGAAUACCUCACCUUUCUCCCCAUGGGGGACUCAAGGUGGCUAACACGCCACACUAAACAAGUUUUAAAAGUGUAAUACCAAUUACAGUAGAGUCUCACUUAUCCAACACUCGCUUAUCCAACAUUCUGGAUUAUCCAGCACAUUUUUGUAGUCAAUGUUCUCAAUACAUCAUGAUAUUUUGGUCCUAAAUUCGUAAAUUCAGUAAUUACUACAUAGCAUUACUGUGUAUUGAACUACUUUUUCUGUCAAAUUUGUUGUGUAACAUGAUGUUUUGGUGCUUAAUUUGUAAAAUCAUAACCUAAUUUGAUGUUUAAUAGGCUUUUCCUUAAUGCCUCCUUAUUAUCCAACAUAUUCGCUUAUCCAACAUUCUGCCGGCCCAUUUAUGUUGGAUAAGUGAGACUCUACUGUAUUAACAACAACAACAACUCUGUAUUGAUUAGUCAGUUUUGACCAUAUCAAAACAUGUAAAACAUAC